UUUACAUUAAAAGGAUCGGUGUGAUAUACUUGCUUCAGUAAAUCUGAGCGCGCGACUUCGACAAUCGGUAACGCACCGUCAGUCGUCCACAAUGAUCGAAAUGUACUGGGUUUUCUCGACAUAAAAUCUGAACAGCGCGAUCGCGCUGCUUGGGACUCAAACGGUUAAGUAUCCGGGACAAUUGUAACUAGAUGACAGACGACGCGACUCGUGUCCUCGUCAUUCCGCGAUCCCCGUUUAGAUUUAUUGUAUCGUGCAUCGUUGAGGACAUCCUGCAGAUAGCGCGUGAACAGUCCUCAGUGUUAAAUCGUCGCGAGUCCGCGAGGAGUCGUCUGCUUUAAGCCCGAAAUACAACGAGUGCAACAUUCGUGUCUAACUUCGUUGCUAAAAGGAUCAUUAAGGACAAAAUUAGGAACGGUAAAAUAGGGGCGAACACGCAAGCCAAACCAGCUGAUUCUCGCGACGAACGUAAGAAAGAAAAAGUAACGAAAUGACGUCGGUGAGGUCGGCAUUAGGUCGCGAUAAUAACCGAUAUAUGAUUGGAUAUUUUUGUACAAAUACUGUAACGUAACGAAGGAGCCUAACAAAGUAAAUUAUAAUGUACUCACUACGCCGUAUUGUUCCAGAGUUAAGGGUGUAUAUUAAUCGUGUUACGAUAUCGCAUGCAUCGACGACAGGUAAACGAACGACACCUGAAGAGAACUUGCGUGAGAAAUUCUCGCUUAUCUCCAACAACAAAUCGUCAUUCUUUACGCCAGAAAGUCCACACGCUGCCUCUUCAACUCGCUCGAUCGGCCGGGAUUAUGUAACACACACGUACACACACACGCAAAAGCUGUGCGUUCAUAUUCGCCGUAGACCUAAAAGGAACGAAGUUGAGAACGGCGAAACAGCGAAAGACAGGUACAACAUAAGAGGCGGGUCAAAGGUCAAGAAGCACCGGGUGAAAUUUGCAGUAGGAUUUCUUCAUCGCGACCGGACAUGUUUAGGCGACUCGCCGCGAGAGCCGCCGCGGUAUCCGCGGUUGUGCAAAUAAUUUUGCAAUAACAUUAUACAAGAGUGCGCGCGUGCAAUAUGAAUUGAGAAAUAGCCAAAUUAAUACCUUUCACCGCGCCGGAUAACAUUAUACCUGCGUCCAGCGCGUCCGUACUACGUGCCGCUUGAUGAUGAUGAUGAUGAUAACAAUCAGGGAACAUAACGAGAACCGUCGUUGGACACCAU